rnacentral:tRNA from 1 species
UCUUAGCUCAGCUGGGAGAGCAUCUGCCUUACAAGCAGAGGGUCACAGGUUCGAGCCCUGUAGGUCCCA